AACGAACGCUGGCGGCGUGCCUAAUACAUGCAAGUCGAACGAGAAAGUGUAGCAAUACAUAAGUAAAGUGGCAGACGGGUGAGUAAUACAUAGGUAAUUUACCUUUUAGUUGGGAAUAACCUUCCGAAAGGAGGGCUAAUACCGAAUAAGACCACAGUUACAUAAGUGACAGGGGUUAAAGGUGACCUCUACUUGUAAGUUAUCGCUAAGAGAUAAGCCUAUGCACCAUUAGCCUGUUGGUAGGGUAACGGCCUACCAAAGCUAUGAUGGUUAGCUGAUCUGAGAGGUUGAUCAGCCACACUGGAACUGAGACACGGUCCAGACUCCUACGGGAGGCAGCAGUAGGGAAUAUUGCGCAAUGGAGGAAACUCUGACGCAGCGUCGCCGCGUGGGUGACGAAGGUCUUCGGAUCGUAAAGCCCUGUCGGAAGGGAAGAAAAAUAUUAUGGCUAAUAUCCAUAGUACUUGACGGUACCUUUAAAGGAAGCACCGGCUAACUACGUGCCAGCAGCCGCGGUAAAAC
rnacentral:rRNA from 1 species